CAGAGACCUGAGGGAGAGAGUAGGAGAAAUCGGAGAGAACGAGCGGUGGUUAAUAAGAAAAGAGUGAAAAAGUUGAUUUUGCAGUUGAGAAACAUAACUUACCUGUUCAGGAACUGACGGGGAUUUUAUGAGAACUAAGCCACACCGGUUUUGGUCAGGUUUUUUGAUUGGUUUGAAGCUCGGUUGGAGCGAGGAUUGGUCUGCGGGCGUGCACAUACACAGAUGGGAUUCAAGAUGGCGAGCCAGACCCAGACCUUCAACUCAUCUUCUCCAUCCAUCAGUGAGGAAAUCUUCUGCGUAUGGUGACUCGCUGCCAGAGUGGUAGGAGUAUCAGGAAUUGGUUUUGAACUGAACUGAGAGCUGAUUGGAUUAUUAGUUUUGGACUGAAUCGAACUGAAACUUUUCAUGGAACUGAAUAAUUGAACUCACAUUUGAACUUGAACUUGAAUUUAAGGUGUCAUACUUUUAUUUUCGUAUUGAGUUCAUAUUUUUGAAUGUGAUUUGAAAUGAUUGUGGUCCACUUUGAUUCGAUUGUGUAAUUGAAGGUAUUCUCUUACCUGUAAAAGGGAGAAAAGAGUUUACUCAGGAAGAAAAAUAGGAAUUCUAAAUUAAGUGCAACCUAGGAAAAAGAGACUGGUCUAACUUAACUUAGAUUAGCUUGACUAAAAUAACUUAGGUGAACUAAAGAACAAAAAUAGUGAAAUACAUUUUUCAUUUACCAUACUUACCUCAAUAUCAAGAACCUACAAGGUAUUUUUGUUUUGAGUUCUGUAUUUUAUAUGUGUUUAGCAUUCAGUAAAUUGCCGGCCUUUUGUAUUUGAAGCAACGGUCUCUGGUGUAAUUAUUUUUUACUCCCCACUCCUUAGAACCUAGAACUGGUCCAGUGGCGCAGUAAGUGGUGUGAUACCGGUGCUACACACAUUUCCCCACUGGGGAUCAAUAAAGGUCUAAUCUUAUCUUAAUCAUAUAUAAUGAUAAGUCUUGUUUGAAAUAGAUUGACAGUUUUAACCCCACUGUGACUAAAUAGCAAUUACUUUUAGACAAAAAAAAUCUGACGAUGGCUGACAAAAGUCCAGCGACAAGGCUUGUUGAUUGUAAGCUUUGCUGCUCAGCUGUGUGCCUCCUCCAUAAAACACAUGAUAAACACUGCCUGGAGGACAGACUGUUACAUCCAUCACUGUGGCUGAUGGCUGAUUUGUAGCUAAUUAGUCCUCAUUAGCUAGUUGUGUUAACAAACAGCAGAACACUUUGACAAAGGCAGUGACAAAACAGCUACUGUACAAAUAUAUGAUUUGUACACAGCUUGUUUUUCAUUGCUGUACAAAACCUUUACUGACCAACGUUAGAGCAGAUACUGUUGCUCGGAAAGAACCUUGUAAUCUAGUGCUAUAUAUGUGAAAACAGAGACAGUGUUCAAUUGUUAGACAUCCAAUUAAUUAAUUCCAAUCAAAUACUGAGCUUUUAGUCACUGCACAGCAGGUUAGCUGAACAUGUGAGAAAUUGCAAUUUGUCUUUAGGCAAGCAUUCAGUUUGACAUAAUAAUAAAUAAAAUGUCCAAUUAUAAAGAAACAAUGAAUAAAUAUUUACUUGGGUUCCAAUUGUGCAUGUCUUUCAAUAAUAUUCCUCUGGAAUAUUAACAAUAGUUAACUAAUCAAACUAAACUUUACCUUAGUUCCCUUUAAUACUAUCAAAUUACAUAGUAAGUAGCCAGGAAACUUUGAUGGAAAUAAAAAAAAGAAAAUUGACUGUACUUGUAUAGCAUCUUUCUAGUCGUUUACUGACAUUGCCGGUAAACCUGUGUGUCUUAUUUGUGAAGCUAAUGUGGCUGUAAUUAAGGAAUUUAAUGUAAGACGGCACUACGAGACAAAACAUCAGGAUAAGCUGAAAAACCUGAAUGCAGAGCAGAAGAUACAGAAAGUAGAAGAGGUUAAAGAAGAAUAUGACAUUUCAGCAGACGUUUUUCACCAGAGCAAAAUCACAAAGUGAAGCCGUUGUGAAACCAAGUGUUAUUGUGGCAGAGGAGAUCGCCAAAUCAGCCCGGCCAUUUACCGAGGGAGAGUUUCUGAAGAGCUGCAUGACAAUGACAGGAAAAGAAAACGUAUGUCAAAGUGUAAGCGACAUGAAACUGCCCUGGGACAAACUUGUUGGACUUACAACAGAUGGAGCACCGGUGAUCUGCGGUGAAAAAAAGUGGACUAGUGGGAAGGAUGCAAGUAAAGAUGCAGGAGGAGAACUGUACUGGUGAGUUAACAGCAUAUCACUGCAUCAUACACCAAGAAACGCUGUGUGGUAAAGUCGUGCUCCAGGGACGUGACUGCAUGAUCACUGACAUGUAUGAUGCGGUGAAGGCAUUUCAAUUGAAGCUGCUCUUAUGAGAGACACAAAUGCACCAGUGCAACUUGCCUUACUUUCCCUGUUGCCAAGUAAUGUUGAACCAAGUCGGCGCAACGGUGUUCCCAAAUGCGCACUUUGCUGAUAAAUUGAGCGCACGGCGCUUUGGUGACUUUGAAGCACAAAAGAAUAAUUUCAAGCUGCUCUGCAACCCAUUUGCCGUCGAUGUGGAACUGCACCUGUACAGAUGCAGAUGGAGCUGAUUGAGCUGCAGUAUAAUGGGACACUAAAGGCAAAGUACGACAGUGCAGGGCCCGCACAGUUUAUUCUCUCCAUUCCUGAAGCAAUGCCCCAGCUCUGUCUACAUGCGGCUCGAACCUUGUGCAUGUUUGGUAGCACAUAUCUGUGUGAGAAGCUGUUCUCAGUGAUGAAGAUUAACAAAACAGCACACAGGAGUCGUAUCACUGAUAAACACCUGCAGUGAGAAUCUCCACAACACAGGACCUCACACCAAACCUAAACGAACUUGUUGCCAAAAAAAGAUGCCAAGCAUCCAGCUCUGACAAGAUGGCAUAAGAGCAAAGAAAACUGAAUGUUUUGAUUUGUUGUUAUUUUAACUUUUGCUGAAAAGCAUAAAUUUUAUUUAUAUUUCCAGGGCUUGUUCUGCAGCAUGUUCAUAUUUUGAAUUUCUAUAAUUUUUACAGGAGAUAUUUUUAUGGAGAGCAAAAUAUUUUAAGUUAUUUCAAGUUUAAGUUUAUUUAUUCUGGAAUAAUAUUCCUGUCUGAUUUUAUUCAUAUUUAUGUUCUAAAACAUUUAGUUUUAGUGUGUUCAAUAAAUGUUUAUCCUGUUCGGCCCGCGACCUAAAGCGUGCUUUGAGUUUUGGCCCCCUGUGCAAUUGAGUUUGACACCCCUGUACUAGAGUGACCAUGUACAAUUUGCCAAAUCCUCACAAUUUCAGGAGAGUUUUUUGCAUGCCUCACUUGUACAUAGAUUAAAUGAAUGCAGAUGCAUUGCACUGUACACUGUGUUUCCAGGACGGUCUUCUUUCAGGUGACUGGAAAGAGAGAUGCUUUUGGUCAUCACUGUAUUGUAACCGUGGCCCCUUCAGCAAUAGACUGCUGAAAAAAAAUCUCACCCAAAUUCCAAAAACAUGUUCCUGAAACUAUGAAAUGUCAUUUAUGGGUUUAUAGAAUUGUUGAUUGUAUUGUAUAAAUAUCUAAAUUACACAUAGAUUAGUUUUGGGGUGUUACAUUCGGCUGUGACACUUUUGUAGCUGUGAGCUAUUUCACAUUAAGAUCUACUUGUAAAUAAUAUAAUAAAAAUGUGAAUGCAAAA